rnacentral:lncRNA from 1 species
GCCGCCGCCGCCGCCGCCGCGCCGCGCGUAGGGAGGAAGAGGAAAUGCCCGGCGCCGGCUCCCGCUGCUCACCGGCGCGGCCCGAGGGGCGCCCGCCCGCCACGCCGCCCCUAGCCCCGCCUGGGGCGGGCCUAGGCCGGGCUAUAGGGGCCAGGGCCUUGGGCUGCGCCGGCCGCGGGAGGUGGGUGCUUCUCGGCGGCGAGCUGCGACUCGGAGAGACUCCUGUCCGCAGGUGCAUGGCUUCCGGGCGGGCCUCGGGCAGCGAGCUCCAGCCCCACUGAGAGGCCGCGGACCGCCUGGGGACUUGUGUUUGUGUGUAUUUUAAGCCAACAGCCCAGAAAGGGAAGGCGACUGGCCCCCGGUCUUCGCCAGUGUUUCCCGGCCGGGUUACUGGUGGUCAGGAGGGAAGCCAGGAGGCUGCCGGGCUCCGAGGCCGAUUCCUUGCGAACCAUCUCCGUUAAAGACUCCGCGCCGGGCAGCCCGGGAGUCCGGCGGUACCCGCGCAAACUUUGUCCCAGCGCCUUGGCUCACCGUGAAUGCCCUGCCUUGAAAAUUUGGAGUUUUUUGUUUCCUGAAAGUGGUCUGCUUUUCCGAUUUUAUCUGUGUUUUCCAUUUUUACCUUCUUAUUGUCAAUUUGUUUUCAGGCAUUAUUAAUUCAACAAAUCUUUGUACUGCCCCUUACCACGUGUCGAUGGUUCCGUGGUUUGGUGGAAAUAGAUCGCGCUUUGAAGUCAAGACGGAUCGGCCAUGGAAUUUUGGCUCUGAGAUCCUCUGUGUAACCGUGGAUGAGCUACAAGGCCUGCUGAGCCUCCAUUUGUCUGGUUUUUGUGGUUGUUUUAAUUUAUCUUUUUCCAUUUGAAGUUGUGGGUUUUGCAUAAAAUUGAACUGUUACCAGGCUAAGUCAACUGAAAUUGGAAUCUGGGGUACUGCUUGCUUUGAGGUUACUCUUAUACUGUCCACCAUUUGCUGGCUGUGUGAUCUCUAAACCUCUCUGUGCCCUGACUUUUCUAUCUUUAAAAUGGACGUAACAACAGAGGUUUAAUAAUAAGAGGUUUGGAGGUUAAGUGCUAAAAUGCAUAUAAAAUACCUAGCACAGGACACAGUAAAAAGAUUGUUACCGUAUUUCAUUGAAUCUGGUUUUAAGACACUUCCUGAUUUCAAAGAAACUAAAAGCUCAUCUUGAAGUCCAGGAAGUAGGUUUUGGGUCACUCAGAACUCCCAAGGGACUGUAUUUGGUAGUAACUAGUGAUAAACAAACUGGAGUUUAAAUGAGGACUUUGUCACCAGAGAUAUUUUUAUUGCCUGUAUGGAGCUCCUGCACAAAUUUAUUCCAUUUCUCUUGUAGAAAGAGAUCCAACCUGGCCGUAAAUGGGGUGUGGUGGAGUAGAAAGAAGGGUAUUAAGUAAAGCUCUGUGUCGAUGCCUUUCUGAGCAUUUUACGGUGUUGGCAUAUGUGAUCCUGGGUAUCAGGAGCCUCAAUUUCUUGGGCUGUAAAAAUGGGGAGAACAACGCUGAUCCCAUUGUCUCCUGAUGGGUAAGUGAUGUCUAUAAAUAAAUUGUAUAGAGAUUAAGGCAUUAUCAGUGCUGUAGUCUGAUAAAAUGGUGGAGCAGAUAGGAAAGCCUACAACAGUACUGAACUGCAGGAGGGACUAAGAGUAAAUAUAGAGAUUUCAUUUGCUUGGUUUUGCAGAGGGUUAGCUAACUAAACAGAUAACUUUGUUUUCGACAGUUACUUCAUUUUUUUCAGUCAGGCAAGAGUAAGGAGAGAGUAACUAAACCAUUUUUUUUCCUCUUUAAAUAAGAGUAAGCAGAAAUAUUAUGGUUAUUUGGGGUUUUCAUGACCUUCAUUCACUUAGCGGUCAGGCUGUUCAAUUUAAAACAACCUUUUGCUUGCUGCCCUGCCAUAUGGGAAAUUUCAUUUCCAAAAAAAGGAUUAAUUUCCAGCCUGGGCGAAACCCUAUCUCUACGGAAAAUAUAAAAAUUAGCGGCCAGGAGCAGUGGCUCAUACCUGUAAUCCCAGCACUUUGGGAGGCCGAGGCAGGUGGAUCACGAGGUCAGGAGUUCAAGAUCAGCCUGGCCAAGAUGGUGAAACCCCAUCUCUACUAAAAAUACAAAAAUUAGCCUGAUGUGGUGGCACGCGCCUGUAAUCCCAGCUACUUGGGAGGCUGAGGCAGAGAACUGCUUGAACCUGGGAGCAUUCCAGCCUGGAUGACAGAGUGAGACUCCGUCUCAAAAAAAAAAAAAAAAUUAGCUGGGCGUGGUGGCAUCCGCCUUUGGUCCCAAAUACUCAGGAGGCUGAGGUGGGAGGAUUGCUUGAGCCCAGGAGGUCGAGUCUGCAGUGAGCCGUGAUUGUACCACCACAUCCUAGUCUGAGUGACAGUGUGACACUCUGUCUCAAAAAAGAAAAGAAGAUCAAGAAGGAUUAAUUUAAAUCCUUAUACCAAAUUGUCUACCAAAUGAUUUUUGUUCCACUCCAGAAAUGUUUUCCUCCAGUCCCUUCCUCUCUCUGCACCCUCCUGAGUUCUCCUUUCUUCUGUGGACAACUGUAACUAAUGCGUGUUUUUGCUAGGCUGACCCUUCUUUCAUACUAUGGCCCAAUUAUGUUUUUUCAAAUAAGCUAAUGGAUGUAAGCACUGGUGAAAUCUGAAUAAGGUCUGUAGUCUACUUGAUAGUAUUGUACCAAUGUCAGUUUCCUGGCUUUUGAUAUUUUUCCAUAGCUUUGUAAGAUGUUCCCAUUUGAGAAAGUGUACCUGGGCCCUCUUUGCAACUACCUAUGGGUAAAUGAUUAUUUCAAAGUAAAAAAUUAAAGUAUAGGGACAGAAAUUAGAUCAAUGGUUACUGGCAACUGGAGCUGGGGAAGGGUGGACUGAUCACACUUUUUGAGAUGAUGAGAAUAUUCUCUAACUUGAUUGUGGUAUUUACAUUACUGGAUGACUCUGUGAAUCUGUCAAAACUCAUAGAACUAUACACCUAAAAGGGUGGUUUUUUUUUUUUUUUUUUUUUUUAGAUGAAGUCUCGCUCUUGUCCCCCAGGCUGGAGUGCAAUGGUGUGAUCUCGGCUCAUUGCAACCUCCGCCUCCCGGAUUCAAGCGAUUCUCCUGCCUCAGCCUCCCAAGUAGCUGGGAUUACAGGUGCAUACCACCACGCCCGGCUAAUUUUUUGUAUUUUAAGUAGAGGCGGGGUUUCACCAUGUUGGCCAGGCUGGUCUCGAACUCCUGACCUCAAGUGAUCUACCCGCCUCGGCCACCCAAAGUGCUGGGAUUACAGGCGUGAGCCUCCGCACCCAGCCAAAGGGUGGUUUUUACUUCUAUAUAAAUUAUACUUCAGUAAACCUGAAUUAAGAUAAGGAAAGCAAGCUCUUGGCCGGGUGCAGUGGCUCACGCCUGUAACCCCAGCACUUUGGGAGGCGGAGAUGGGCGGAUCACGAGGUCAAGAGAUCGAGAGCAUCCUGGCUAAAUGGUGAAACCCUGUCUCUACUAAAAAUACAAAAAAAUUAGCCAGGCGUGGUGGUGGGCAUCUGUAGUCCCAGCUACUUGGGAGGCUGAGGCAGGAGAAUGGCGUGAACCCGGGAGGCGGAGCUUGCAGUGAGCCGAGAUCGCGUCCAGACCUGGGUGACAGAGCGAGACUCCCUCUCAAAAAAAAAAGAAAAGCAAGCUCUCAUCACCCCAGCCUCCUGGGGCUUGUAGGAUGAAAUGUAACUUUAAGGCCCAACGUGCUUUUCCAGCAUACGGACUCUUCCUGCCAGCGCACCCUGGGCUUCCUUGUACUGUAUUAAUUCCUGCCCCUGUGCCUUUGUGCAUACUCUUCCUUCUGCUUAGGUGGAGCAUAGGAAAGUAAAGUCAAAAUUCGGGUUCCCUGUACUCCUGUAAGCCUUCCCUGCCUCCCUUAGGCAAACCAGUAAUUUCCUAACUUCCUCCUCUGCUCACUCAUGUCGUGCUGUAAUUUUUAAUUCGUUUUCAUCUUUUUUCUCAACUAGACUCCUCAAAGGCAGCGACCACAUUGUUCUUUGUCUCUGGGAUCCAGUAGUGUUGAAUGAGUGAGUGAAUGAACAAAUUAUUUAUUUAUUUAUUUAUUUAUUUAUUUUUUGAGACAGAGCCUCUCUCUGUCGCACAGGCAGGAGUGCAGUGGUGCGAUCUCGGCUCACUGCAACCUCUGCCUCCCGGGUUCAAGUGAUUCUCCUGCCUCAGCCUCCUGAGUAGCUGGGACUACAGGAGGGUGCCAUGACGCCUGGCUAAUUUUUGUAUAUUUAGUAGAGACGGGGUUUCACCAUGUUGCCCAGGCUGGUCUCAAACUGCUGGCCUCAGGUGAUCCACCCACCUCAGCCUCCCAAAGUCCUGGGAUUACAGCCAUGAGCCACCAGGCCCGGCUGUGAAUGAUGUAGAGCUGAAAGAAAAACUAAUGGUUCUCAAAGUGCGGUCCAAGGUCCCCAAGAGGUGAGGUGAGGUGCUAGGAUUUUCAUGCUUUCAGCAAACAGCACAUCCUAACAGAUUGAAUGCAGAAGAAGAGAAUCCAGCUGUCUUCAUUUAAGCCAAACAUUAAAGAGAUCUGAAAAACAAUAUCGUACUUCCACAUUUUUUGGGAAAAAAUAAGUUAUUUUUCUUUAAAAUGUGUUCUGUUACUAGAUAGUGGGUUUAUUACUGUUUUUAAGUGACUACGUUUUUGUUUGUUUGUUUGUUUGUUUGAGACAGUCUCAUUCUGCCACCCAGGCUGGAGUACAAUGGCGCCAUCUCGGCUCACUGUAACCUCUGCCUCCUGGUUUCAAGCAAUUCUGCCUCAGCCUCCCAAGUAGCUGAGAUUACAGGCCCCCGCCACCACGCCUGGCUAAGUUUUUUGCAUUUUUAGGAGAGAUGGGGUUUUGCUGUGUUAGCCAGGCUGAUCUCAAACUCCUGACCCGCCUUUGCUUCCCAGAGUGCC